GAAGCGGGAUGAGCUCNAAUUUAAAAUCUGGCUGGUUUACUAGUCCGAAUUGUAGUUUAAAGAAGCGUUUUCGGUGGCAGCCUGGGUAUAAAUCCUUUGGAAUAGGGUAUCAUAGAGGGUGAGAAUCCCGUCUUUGACUCAGUGCAUGCUACUAUGUGAUACGUUUUCAAAGAGUCGAGUUGUUUGGGAAUGCAGCUCAAAAUGGGUGGUAAAUUUCAUCUAAAGCUAAAUAUUGGCGAGAGACCGAUAGCGAACAAGUACCGUGAGGGAAAGAUGAAAAGAACUUUGAAAAGAGAGUUAAACAGUGCGUGAAAUUGUUGAAAGGGAAACGCUUGACACCAGUCAUGCGGGCGGAAAAUCAGUCUCUUAUAGUAGGGAGUGGUGGGAGUUUGGACCGCAAGGCCAGCUUUUGCUUCAUCUCUGCUAUGAGUGGUGCACUUUUUCGUUUGCAGGUCAACAUCAGUUUCUUCUGCUGGACAAAACUCUGAGAGAAGGUAGCAGCUUAGGCUGUGUUAUAGCUCUGGAGCGAUACAGUGGAGGGGACUGAGGCUUUCGCAGCGUGUGCUCUCGGGCAAGGCUGAUUGGGUGCUAUGAGAUCGUUCGGUGUACAAUGCAUGCAUUUUGCGCCGUGUCUUUUUUAUACUCNCUCAACUCGGCUCUUCCACGCUUAGGAUGUUGACUUAAUGGUUUUAAUCGACCCGUCUUGAAACNCGGACCAAGGAGUCUAACAUAUAUGCAAGUGUUUGGGUGGCAAACCCAUGCGCGUAAUGAAAGUGAACGUAGGUGCCAUCCGCAAGGUGCAGCAUCGACCGAUCUUGAUAUUUUUGGAU
rnacentral:rRNA from 1 species